GGGUGGUAAUGCCGGAUGUUCCACAUGAUCGCAUGUGAUUGUGGGAAAGAUUCUAUCGGCGUGGGAUGGGGUCGCGUCCUAUCAGCUUGUUGGUGAGGUAACGGCUCACCAAGGCUUCGACGGGUAGCCGGCCUGAGAGGGCGACCGGCCACAUUGGGACUGAGAUACGGCCCAGACUCCUACGGGAGGCAGCAGUGGGGAAUAUUGCACAAUGGGCGCAAGCCUGAUGCAGCGACGCCGCGUGAGGGAUGGAGGCCUUCGGGUUGUAAACCUCUUUUGUUUGGGAGCAAGCCUUCGGGUGAGUGUACCUUUCGAAUAAGCGCCGGCUAACUACGUGCCAGCAGCCGCGGUAAUACGUAGGGCGCAAGCGUUAUCCGGAUUUAUUGGGCGUAAAGGGCUCGUAGGCGGCUCGUCGCGUCCGGUGUGAAAGUCCAUCGCUUAACGGUGGAUCUGCGCCGGGUACGGGCGGGCUGGAGUGCGGUAGGGGAGACUGGAAUUCCCGGUGUAACGGUGGAAUGUGUAGAUAUCGGAAAAAAACACCA
rnacentral:rRNA from 1 species